GGACAGACCUCGAGGGUAACUUAAAAACGCCACGUGCUAUUUUUUUCACACCUCCCCGUGGAAAUUUGGGAUCUGUCCUGCGAGCGUCCGCCUUGCGCAGAAGCGUCUCUUGCUGUGAAACAUUACUUUUUGCAGUCGUCAACAAGGACGGGCGCGACGUAAGAAAGCCCAGGGAGCGUCGACAAAGCCCAUCAGAAGAUUGUCAAGAAUGCUAACAAUUCUUGCGUUCCUCUGCUCCUCUUGUCUGCUGUCAGGACUGAAGUGUUGACGGAAGAGUGCUAGUUGCUGGUAGAACCCUCCUCCGCUUUCGUCGGUGUGUAGACACAGCGUCACUGGACUGCAUGAGCAUCAAUCAUAACGAGAGAGAGGUACUGUUUCAAUUGUAUCAGCGAGUUCAAUAGUCGAUGGUGCAUUUUUACGACGGCCACAUGUGUGGCUCCCUUGGAAGCCUCUCUUGAAAAGCGCUCCUGACAAACAUGUCUGCAGAAAGGUAAAUCCCGGACCCAGCAGCCCAGACAGAGACGAUGGCCUCCUGUUUCUUGUUCCACAGGGCGACAAGCAGGAUUUUUUAACAAUCAGACCCACCAAAAGCCCCUCAUUUCGCAUAUGUAAUGGCUGAUAUCCUCUGAAUGAAUCACGGCAUCUUCCUCAUCGAUUCCCCUUUGUAUCUCGGGUGCCUCUGUUAGGUGUCGGUGAAUGCUUUCAGGAGGAAACAAUAUUGCAAAUGCGUCUACGUGUAUACCAAUGUUAACAGAAAGAGAGACGUACUAACGAUGGAGGUGCACACGAACGCUAUGCGUGCAAGGAAAUAUAUAUACACGACACGUGUGUAUAUAUACAGCCUGACAACUUUAAAAUAACGCCAGCUAUACUUCCGUAGAGUCAUCGUUCCACAGGAGUGCAAUGAAGCGAACGCAUGUUUUCGGUGCUACGGAAUCUGCCAGAUGCUCCAAUGAAACAGCAACUCCACUAUGUUUCAACUUGCAUAUGUCGAAGCGUUCAGGGACAGGCGGAGCAUGAAAUUUCCUCUCGGGCUCUGGUACCUUAUUUAUCGCUAAAACGGGUUUUCUAGUUUUCUCGCUGUAGGAAUAGGUAGAAUGGGAUUCCACCACUUACGCACAGUACUCUUUUGGGAGAGAUGGCGCGUUGCUUCGCUAGCAACAGGAAACCUAACGGAGAAAAAUCCGCACUAUCUGGACUGUCGAGGUCUCGGUCUGGCUUCACAGCAAGUGGACAAAGAAUACUAGCCUCCUGGUGCCUCUGUCAGCCCGCUCUUAAACGUCGUCUCGAACAUCAGUCGGUGGCGCCAGACCCGCGUCAGUGUCCCCACGGCCGCUGCCUUCAGAAGCGGACGAAAGACUGGAUCGAGUUAAGUGUCAAACUGUCAAUCAGCUGGGUAUCCCAGCUGCCUAGGGGUCUCCCGUCGAAAAACUGAGAGUCAGAGAGCUUCUCUGUCGCCGCAGCAAGCCGUUGCUUUAGUUCACCACUCAAAACUAACAGCUUCGAGUUGACUUGGGGUAGCAGCCCCUGGAGCUUCCUCACAAACUCGUCCAGCCCAAUGAUGUUCUGCAGUUUCCCGGCAACCACCUGAUCGAUACCUAAGUCGUUCCAGUUUGUGAUGCGACGCAGGCUGGGCAGGGCAAUUUCCACUCGGCCCGCCUUGCUUUUGAGGCCUAACUUUUGGAAUACAGUCAAAAGAACGUCGGGCUCCAGUAUGCCUUGCAUCUGUUCCCGCUUGAUAAAGUCAGAUAAGGUCUUGUCCAUCAACUUGGAAACUUUCUCCUCAAAGGUCUUCAAGGCUUCUGAAAUGUUCGGAACCAACUGGAAAAGCCUCUCACUAUCUCCCGGCAGUUUCGUUUGGGCUUCCGGGGCAAGAGGCAGAGAAUACGUGUGGGAGUUCGAUGCUUGGACUUCAGACAGCCUUCUCACAUUGCUACCCUGCUGUCCUCGGAGACCCUCUUCGUAUAUCUCCUCCACGCGUUGCUUCAUUCGCGGCGACAGGGGUGCCUCUUGGUCAUAAAGAAGACUGUCUCGCAAAGCUCCUGCAACCCGCUCGUAAUUGUUGUUCACUCGCUGCAUCUGCAUCCACUUGCCAUGGGCCAGCUCUAGCACUGCUUUCUCUUCCGCAGGCAUCGUGUCACGAAUGGUUCCAUGCACUAGUCCCUCCACACCGACACGUUUUAGCACCGCUUCGACCGUCUCUGCAUUCACAGACUUUCUGCGACUGCUCAGCUGGCGUGACACUUCCUCAGCGAUAUCUCUCCUCAGUGUCUCAAUUUUCUCCUCAAACUCAGUAACUUUUGCCGACUCUUUCGUACUUGUGGAUGUCCAUUUCAGGCGUUCCUUUGCCUUCUCCAAAAAACUCAUGACCGAAAGUCUCCGGGGGGAAGUUGCUGUCUUUCCCUUGAUAAUAGAAGAGAAACUGACUUCAUCCAGCAGUUUGUUGAAUUUGGAAGACGCGGCAGGCUUCUGAAGGCUCUCCUUGUUG
rnacentral:lncRNA from 1 species